ensembl:processed_transcript 1810026B05Rik RIKEN cDNA 1810026B05 gene
GUAACUUAGAAGAUGAUAAUUAAUGUGGUUGCUGAUAAUUCUGAAUAAAUACAGCUUUUAUCCCAGGUGUGCCAUUUUGAAGACUGAGACCAUAGAGUUCUAAGAAUAAAGGAAAGAGCCCUUGGGAAAUUAUUAUAUAUAGCAACUUUAAAGGAUUAACAUGACCAAAGAUGUUGCAGCUAGUCACCAGUGUUUUUGGAUCAUAACAUGACAUAGAUUUUUAGCAUAUAAAAUAGAAAUGUGAAUCCUCAGAUGGAAUGAAAGGCCUGCACCAUAGACAUCGAAGCAUUUACACCCCGCUUGAAGAGUUUGAAAUGGACUUUACCACUGAGAAAUCAAGAUGGCAGCCCAUUAUGGGGAAUUGAGGAAAAUGGAUUAAUGCAAGAAUGCUGUAAUAUUAUACAACCAACACAGGAUUCUUUUAAUGUGGAU